GACGUAGGGUGCGAGCGUUGUCCGGAUUUAUUGGGCGUAAAGAGCUCGUAGGCGGCUUGUCGCGUCGACCGUGAAAACUCAGGGCUUAACCCUGAGCCUGCUUCCGAUACGGGCAGACUAGAGGUAUGCAGGGGAGAACGGAAUUCCUGGUGUAGCGGUGAAAUGCGCAGAUAUCUGGAGGAACACCGGUGGCGAAGGCGGCAUCCUGGACCAACACUGACGCUGAGGAGCGAAAGCCAGGGGAGCAAACGGG
rnacentral:rRNA from 1 species